rnacentral:misc_RNA from 1 species
CUAAGGAAUAUAUCAUCUUCAGUUGUGAAAGACUGAAAGAAAAGUUUUUUCAUCUUUUGUUAAGAUCAUAUAAAAUUAAAAAAAAGGGGGGCCUAUAGCUCAGUUGGUUAGAGCACACGCCUGAUAAGCGUGAGGUCGAUGGUUCAAGUCCAUUUAGGCCCACCAUGAAUGAUAGAUCAUAAUAAAAGAUUAGCUCUUUGAAAAGUAGAUAAAUAAAAGGUUAAAAGA